GUGUGAAUUGCCACUUUAGUGGAACAUUAAAUUAGCCGAAAGGUCACCAUUGGACCGUGUAUUUAUUUUAUGCAUAGCAUAUAUAGGUAUGAAUGCUGAAUAUAGUAGGCGGUAUCAUGCGAACGGGAGUAGCAGCUGUAGCGUUAGCUGCACGAUCGUACCACCGAUCGUUAGAGACCGAUCAUUCAUCCAACAGAGCGAGUCACCGAUACGGCUGUUGCCGAUGAAGGAUUUCCCUUUCCCACCCAACUGGCCGAAACCAAAACAACACAGACGAGAUGGCUACAGGAAACCACUGUAUACGACUAGUUGCAUUGUCUAUUUCGCAUCUUCGUUCGGCUGCCUCUGUCAUAAACGAACCAAUGGCAAUGUGUGGCAACGUCAGCUGACAUGGGCCGGAACCUUCUGUUUUGUCGUUGCUAGCAGAUGAAAGGAAUGUCGCUGAUCGCGGUGAUGAUGAUCAUGAUCUGUGUUGUCUGUUUGGUUCUCCGGCGGUGCAGCAGUUUCGUGAAUUCUCACAAUGUCAAUGAAUUAACUUUCAGCCUGCGGCAAAGUAAUCGCGAAAUGGUUAAAGCGUUUUGUAUGACUCUUACCAAAUCAGUCUACUUAUAGGCCUGGUAGUCCCGACCGAGCGUAUGAGAUUUAAGCUGUUACAAAGAAGCAUUUCAUAGUGUCUAUUAAGCAUAUUGCAAGUCGCCUAAUUGCAUAGGGUCAGCGUUUUGAACGUAACCGAGAACGACGGAUGCCUUUAACUCUGAACUGUUGAUGACUUCACCCAUCUCAACAGCUUUAUAAAGCAACGACUAUAGGUUAACCUAUAGCCGAAGUGGCGGUUUUUAAUAGUGCAGUUGUGGUGGAAGUAGCUGUACUGGGAUAAUCGACAAUGAACAAAAUUACUUUGCUACCAUUUGGGCCUGUUGAAGAAGGCCUAGAAGAGUCCAGCAAGUCCCCCAUUGACCGGUCCUUGAAGCAACAACAAGCGGGUAUUUUUGUAUUAUAUGUGGGAUAACCCAAAUCGAGGCUAAACAAAGCAUAUGCUCCAAAGACUGAUUGUGCUUCACCGGCCUACACAAUGAACGUAUUUUUUGCCCCAUGCACCUAUACUAUACAAGAGAUGUGGUCACGAGAAGUGGUUUUCGUGUAUCGAUACCAAAAACGCUAAUUAGUUUAGGAUAUGUUUCAUAUCUCUACAACGAAACAAUGCGUUGCUUAGUUUCUAACAACACUAUAAAUAAUCAUGUAGCAAAAAUGGCCACAUGUUCAUUUGAAUAAUGUAGUAGACGAAGUAUCUGCUACAUACUGGUGGCUUUGCAUAGAUGCACACGGAACAUAGGCCCCUGCUCACACAGCCAAUACAGG